rnacentral:tRNA from 1 species
AGAUGUGUGGGCCAGUGGUAGAGUACUUGUCUUUCAUGCACAAGGCCCUGGGUUCAACCCUCAGCAUAGCCA